rnacentral:rRNA from 1 species
GACGAACGCUGGCGGCGUGCUUAACACAUGCAAGUCGAACGAUGAAGCCGGAGCUUGCUCUGGUGAAUUAGUGGCGAACGGGUGAGUAACACGUGAGUAACCUGCCCUUGACUCUGGGAUAACUGCGGGAAACUGUAGCUAAUACCGGAUACGACCCUCGGAGGCAUCUCCUGGGGGUGGAAAGAAUUUCGGUCAAGGAUGGACUCGCGGCCUAUCAGCUAGUUGGUGAGGUAAAGGCUCACCAAGGCGACGACGGGUAGCCGGCCUGAGAGGGUGACCGGCCCCACUGGGACUGAGACACGGUCCAGAAUCCGACGGGAGGCAGCAGUGGGGAAUAUUGCACAAUGGGUGCAAGCCUGAUGCAGCAACGCCGCGUGAGGGAUGACGGCCUUCGGGUUGUAAACCUCUUUUAGCAGGGAAGAAGCGAAAGUGACGGUACCUGCAGAAAAAGCACCGGCUAACUACGUGCCAGCCGCCGCAGUAA